rnacentral:sRNA from 1 species
AACUAGCCCCGAUUGCAGCGACAUCCUUUUUCUUAGAUUGGGAAUUGCGGUUACAAGAAAAAGAUAUAGCGGAAAGCGGGAAAUGCU